AGCUUUGCACAGUGGCAUUAUCGUAGCCAAUGAGGUUUAUCCAAGGCGCGAUUAUUGCUAAUUGAGAACUAGGACUAAAUGGAAAUUGUUGACUCUGACUUCUAAUUCCCCAGAAGCCCCAGUGACUUAGGGACUCUGGUAUCUCAG